GUUUGAUCCUGGCUCAGGACGAACGCUGGCGGCGUGCCUAAUACAUGCAAGUCGAGCGGACAGAUGGGAGCUUGCUCCCUGAUGUUAGCGGCGGACGGGUGAGUAACACGUGGGUAACCUGCCUGUAAGACUGGGAUAACUCCGGGAAACCGGGGCUAAUACCGGAUGCUUGUUUGAACCGCAUGGUUCAAACAUAAAAGGUGGCUUCGGCUACCACUUACAGAUGGACCCGCGGCGCAUUAGCUAGUUGGUGAGGUAAUGGCUCACCAAGGCGACGAUGCGUAGCCGACCUGAGAGGGUGAUCGGCCACACUGGGACUGAGACACGGCCCAGACUCCUACGGGAGGCAGCAGUAGGGAAUCUUCCGCAAUGGACGAAAGUCUGACGGAGCAACGCCGCGUGAGUGAUGAAGGUUUUCGGAUCGUAAAGCUCUGUUGUUAGGGAAGAACAAGUACCGUUCGAAUAGGGCG
rnacentral:rRNA from 1 species